UACGGAGGGUGCAAGCGUUGUUCGGAUUUACUGGGCGUAAAGCGCGCGCAGGUGGAUGAACAAGUCGGAAGUGAAAUCUUGAGGCUCAACCUCGAGGCUGCUCCGAACUGUUCGUCUAGGACUGGUAGAGGCUGGUAGAAUUCCCGGUGUAGCGGUGGAAUGCGUAGAGAUCGGGAAGAACACCCGUGGCGAAGGCGGCUCUCUGGGACGGUACUGACGCUGAGACGCGAAAGCGUGGGAGCGAGUCCGG
rnacentral:rRNA from 1 species